GACGAACGCUGGCGGCGUGCUUAACACAUGCAAGUCGAACGGAAAGGCCCUGCUUUUGUGGGGUGCUCGAGUGGCGAACGGGUGAGUAACACGUGAGUAACCUGCCCUUGACUUUGGGAUAACUUCAGGAAACUGGGGCUAAUACCGGAUAGGAGCUCCUGCUGCAUGGUGGGGGUUGGAAAGUUUCGGCGGUUGGGGAUGGACUCGCGGCUUAUCAGCUUGUUGGUGGGGUAGUGGCUUACCAAGGCUUUGACGGGUAGCCGGCCUGAGAGGGUGACCGGCCACAUUGGGACUGAGAUACGGCCCAGACUCCUACGGGAGGCAGCAGUGGGGAAUAUUGCACAAUGGGCGGAAGCCUGAUGCAGCAACGCCGCGUGCGGGAUGACGGCCUUCGGGUUGUAAACCGCUUUCGCCUGUGACGAAGCGUGAGUGACGGUAAUGGGUAAAGAAGCACCGGCUAACUACGUGCCAGCAGCCGCGGUGACACGUAGGGUGCGAGCGUUGUCCGGAUUUAUUGGGCGUAAAGGGCUCGUAGGUGGUUGAUCGCGUCGGAAGUGUAAUCUUGGGGCUUAACCCUGAGCGUGCUUUCGAUACGGGUUGACUUGAGGAAGGUAGGGGAGAAUGGAAUUCCUGGUGGAGCGGUGGAAUGCGCAGAUAUCAGGAGGAACACCAGUGGCGAAGGCGGUUCUCUGGGCCUUUCCUGACGCUGAGGAGCGAAAGCGUGGGGAGCGAACAGGCUUAGAUACCCUGGUAGUCCACGCUGUAAACGGUGGGUACUAGGUGUGGGGUCCAUUCCACGGGUUCCGUGCCGUAGCUAACGCUUUAAGUACCCCGCCUGGGGAGUACGGCCGCAAGGCUAAAACUCAAAGGAAUUGACGGGGCCCCGCACAAGCGGCGGAGCAUGCGGAUUAAUUCGAUGCAACGCGUAGAACCUUACCUGGGUUUGACAUGGAUCGGGAGUGCUCAGAGAUGGGUGUGCCUCUUUUGGGGUCGGUUCACAGGUGGUGCAUGGCUGUCGUCAGCUCGUGUCGUGAGAUGUUGGGUUAAGUCCCGCAACGAGCGCAACCCUUGUUCACUGUUGCCAGCACGUUAUGGUGGGGACUCAGUGGAGACCGCCGGGGUCAACUCGGAGGAAGGUGGGGAUGACGUCAAGUCAUCAUGCCCCUUAUGUCCAGGGCUUCACGCAUGCUACAAUGGCUGGUACAGAGAGUGGCGAGCCUGUGAGGGUGAGCGAAUCUCGGGAAGCCGGUCUCAGUUCGGAUUGGGGUCUGCAACUCGACCUCAUGAAGUCGGAGUCGCUAGUAAUCGCAGAUCAGCAACGCUGCGGUGAAUACGUUCCCGGG
rnacentral:rRNA from 1 species